CAAAUGACCAUGAAUGAUACAAGCAACUGCAUUGUGUUUUAAUUUAAAAUGUCAAGAAGUAUUGACCAAGCCUCUCUUUGACCAAACUUUAUUCUCUUCAACAAUUUCUUAAUUCGAUUUCCUUACUUGUCUCUACAGUGUCCAAGUUUAGCAAGAACUUUGUUAAGUCAAUUUAGUCAUUCUUCUUGUCAGCUCACCCUGGAUAUCUGAUCGGGGUCCUCGUCCUCCACCAUCCCCCAGAAGAUGUCUGCUCACCCUGGCCUCCCUCCAGCAAGAAUCCUGGCAGGUAUCUCUGGAUUGUUACAAAAUGACCUUGAACGGAAGGCAUCUCCCUAAAUACAUGGCACAUUGAAUCUUGGCUGGCCUUAGGCCAACAGGAUGCAAUAGAUGUACAUUCUGCCAGUUCUAAGCCUAGGCAUUAAAGAGGUUUUGCAGCUUUUGUCUGAAAUCAAACCACUCCGCUAUGAAGAUGGCCCCUCUCACCUAUUGGAGGAUGAGAGGUCAUGUGGAGAAAACACGUGGUACCUUAGCUGGCAGCCAAAAGCCAGACGUGAGCAAGGCCAUCCUGGCACCUCCAGCUUCAGUCGAGUCAUCAGUUGACACCACCAUAUGAAUGAUCCCAAGUGACACCAGCAGAAGAGCCAACCAGACUGCCAAUGCACACCAAGAACCCAGCCAGGUAGUAAAGCGGGCAGAGAUAAGGGAUGGACUUCAGAGAGUCUGACUCCAGUUCCACGCUACCUCCACCUCUCUGGUGAGGGGCAACGUCUGGCAACCAUGAGCACAAGACAGAAGUUCAGCAUUUGGAUAAGGAAUCCACUACGGCUUGUGGGUGUUUUCAGGAGAAAAUAUAGACACGCAGUGACAAUGGUACCAUCAUUUCUGAAAGGACUUUGUCAUUUCAGCGACACAUCCUGGCCAGGCAAUGAACUAUGUGGCAAGAGGGCAGAUUCAGGAACUAGACCAUCUGGAGAUCACGCAGCUUUAUGGGUCUCGCUCUGUCACCAGCUAGAGUACAGUGGCACAAUUUCAGCUCACUGCAGCCUCAACCUCCAGGACUCAAGUGAUCCUCCCACCUCAUCCUCCUGAGUAGCUGGGACUACAGAUGUACACCACCAGGCCCAGUCAAGAUAUUUGGCACCUGAAAUACCUUGGAAGUAUUCAAGAGCCACAAAGCAGAACCUUAGAAUCAGCAUCUGAACUCCAUAAAGAUGACCUCUCUGUGGCAGCAGUGUCUGCUGCAAGCUUCAUCCUGGGCAUCUGCAGGAAAUGCAGUGGGGUGCCCCAGCUGGAUCCUCCUUUCCGGGAGGCACUGUCUUUCUGGUAGCUGGGAGAAGUGAUAGAACAGAGCUCUCAGCUGUCAGCCCUCUUUGAGGAUUGCUUCAGCUAAAGAGACUGCUUCACUUAAGUGCACAGUUACUGACUGAUCAACACACUCUGCCCGUGGGGCACCCGGGAAGCCCAUUCUGGCUCCAGAGCUCUCAGUAGGUCAAGCUAAGUCCUUCACUAGAUCUUCAUUUCGGCUCAACUUUGGGCCAGUCAUGCUUUUAUCUCCUCCCUCCCACAGGUGUUAAUUCUAAAAUUAUUUCCUAAUAAACACCCU
rnacentral:lncRNA from 13 species